rfam:Bombyx mori DNA, contig: Bm_scaf2_contig1517, strain: p50T/Dazao, build 2, whole genome shotgun sequence.
UUAACUCAAAUUUGUAUGGAGUUGGAACCUAUGCCUACGUUUUCCGCUAAGGGCGCUGUUCCAACUUCAUACAAAAUACAAUUA